UAGGGAAUAUUGGUAAUGGGCGCAAGCCUGAACCAGCAACGCCGCGUGUACGAUGAAGGCCUUCGGGUUGUAAAGCACUUUUUGAGGGGAUGAGGAAGGACAGUACCCUCAGAAUAAGUCUCGGCUAACUACGUGCCAGCAGCCGCGGUAACACGUAGGAGACUAGCGUUAUCCGGAUUUACUGGGCGUAAAGCGCGUGCAGGUGGCUCGGAAAGUUCGAUGUGAAAGCUCCCGGCUUAACUGGGAGAGGUCGUUGAAUACUUUCGGGCUAGAGGAUGGGAGAGGGAGGCGGAAUUCCGGGUGUAGUGGUGAAAUGCGUGGAUAUCCGGAGGAACACCAGUGGCGAAAGCGGCCUUCUAGACCAUGACUGACGCUCAGACGCGAAAGCUAGGGUAGCAAACGG
rnacentral:rRNA from 1 species